rnacentral:rRNA from 1 species
UACGUAGGGUGCGAGCGUUGUCCGGAAUUAUUGGGCGUAAAGAGCUCGUAGGCGGUCUGUCGCGUCGAUCGUGAAAACUUGGGGCUUAACCCUGAGCUUGCGGUCGAUACGGGCAUGACUGGAGUUCGGCAGGGGAGACUGGAAUUCCUGGUGUAGCGGUGAAAUGCGCAGAUAUCAGGAGGAACACCGGUGGCGAAGGCGGGUCUCUGGGCCGAUACUGACGCUGAGGAGCGAAAGCGUGGGGAGCAAACAG